ensembl:antisense
GGAGUCUGCCAUUGCCUACUUCAGGGGCAACAUGAACUAUCAGUACUACCAGCUGCUGCUGCUCAUGGGCCGCACCCUGAGACCUAACCCAGAUGCUGAGAGGAUCUUCAAGGAGUCUGUGAUGAGUAUAAUGCCCCAAACUGGAAGGAUAAUUACCCCUCCCCAUGCUGUUUUCUGGUUUUUGUCCCUCUACAGAAGCCUGUGUGUUUGUCCUAGACCCCCAGUGCACUAAGGGAGUGCUGCAGUAUCCAUGCAGAAAGCAGGAGAUGGGACCUGGCUGACCCAGAGGUGCAGACACCCACAUGUAGAACUCUCAGUGUCAAAGAGCACAGGGCCUAACACCCACUCCUCCCCCAAGUCUGCAUUCAAUAAAUUCGGUGGAUAUCACUCAA